UACGGAGGGGGCUAGCGUUGUUCGGAAUUACUGGGCGUAAAGGGCGCGCAGGCGGCUGCUCAAGUCAGGCGUGAAAGGCCUGGGCUCAACCCGGGAAUUGCGCUUGAGACUGGGCUGGCUUUAGUGCGGGAGAGGAUGGUGGAAUUCCCAGUGUAGAGGUGAAAUUCGUAGAUAUUCGGCGGAACACCAGUGGCGAAGGCGACUCACUGGCCCGAUACUGACGCUGAGGCGCGAAAGCGUGGGGAGCAAACAGG
rnacentral:rRNA from 1 species